GAUCCUGGCUCAGGAUGAACGCUAGCUACAGGCUUAACACAUGCAAGUCGAGGGGAAACGACAUCGAAAGCUUGCUUCCGAUGGGCGUCGACCGGCGCGCGGGUGAGUAACGCGUAUCCAACCUGCCAACCACUUGGGGAUAACCUUGCGAAAGUAAGACUAAUACCCAAUGAUAUCUCUAGAAGACAUCUGAAAGAGAUUAAAGAUUUAUCGGUGAUGGAUGGGGAUGCGU
rnacentral:rRNA from 1 species